rnacentral:tRNA from 1 species
CUUAGCUCAGCUGGGAGAGCGCCUGCCUUGCACGCAGGAGGUCAGCGGUUCGAUCCCGCUAG